AAGCUCUGCGUCGGAGCUCCUGGUGCCUUAAUGCCGCUGGCUGGGCAGGAGGCUCGCGUCACCUGCAAGCAAGCGCCAUGAUAAGUUGCAGAGUCUCGUUCAGGAUCUCAAUGGACGCACGCCCUGCCUAUUCGAGGAUCGAUGUGCAAUUGACUGUUCUCCGGAGCAGACCACAAACCUUAAAUGGUACGAGUUCAGCAUGAAGAAACCACGUAUUGUUGAAUGAAGGUUUACCAAGAGCCGCUGCUGGCCUAGACAAGCUUAACUAAGACUGUUGUAUUCGUUGCUUUUCCUGCCUUGUGCUCCAUCUCUCUUCAGUAAAGACACGUUGGUCAAAACUCGGUGCCGCACGAGCGGCAGUCGCAAUACUUAAAGCACAUGAGGGGAAACCGGGGUACGCAUAUCUCUAUCAUUUGGAUUGGUAAACUGCCACAAGUGCUCCGCGUAAACCUUCAGGCAGUACUGCCUACAUAAUUA